rnacentral:lncRNA from 1 species
GAUCUUGGGGGAUUGGCAUUGUAUAUAAUAGAAGGGUUAAAAUUCUGCACAAUGGACAAAGAUAAGUUAACUGAGCCCAUUUUCUGAAUCACUUUUCUGUCUUCUUCAUGACUAGACCAUGUCAUAUGCCUUGUUUAAAUAUAUAGGUUAAGUCUGUAAACUUAACUAUGCUGGUUGCUGGUGAAAAGAUUAGAUGGCCAAGGUUUGGGAUGUGGGAUUUAAAAUAUACUAUAAUUAGGCUAGAUUAGGUAUUUUGGAUUUAUGUAGCCUAUGCCUGGUUUUACAUUUAUUAUGUCCUUAUUGUCCUCUUAAUUUCCUAGUGUACUGCACAGAUAUGUUAAUUCACUACUCACGCUGAAUGUAAGGUCACAGUGUCUCACUUUUGUUUGUAGUUGAUUGCUUAUCACCUAUUCAAGACUUCAUUUCUAUUUACCAUGUGUAUUUGAUGAUUUGUCCUCAGUAAGUCCCUACAAAAGAAUACUGAUCAUGUUUUCUUUUCUCUCUAACAGCUGCUCAGUAAUUUCACAAGAUGUAAUGUAAGUCUAUUCAUGAAGUAAAGUGAGACCCUCUCAGCUCAUGUUGAUUGUGCUUGUGGAGGUGCUCACCAGUCUGUUGAAUACAUUCUGCAAUUAUUUUAUGUUUUUUUGAAGCAGGCAGAAUGCACACUGAAGACCAUAUGAAGAACAACUUAAGCCUCUUUCUCUCUUACACACAAUACACGUGCUGAUUCCAAUGGAAGAUAUGUAGUUAAAUCCUCUGUACUCUUUGGAUAUUUUGAGGCUUGGGCAAUUGUUGAGCUUUGCUGCAGACUAAAAAACUUUGAACCACUUCAAAUGGAAAGAAAAAUACCAUAA